CGAGGGAACUAAACUAUAAGAAAACCAAAGGGAAACUAGAAUCUAAGGAUAACAUUAUCUGAUAAGGAAGAGCAGGGAAGCGAAGACCUAGAAUUACUAUAAAGUAAAACGUAAACAAUAAGUGGAACUAAGCCUCGUGAGGAAACAAAUAACUAUAAACAACAGGACAAGAGGAGGAACUACUAGGGGAACAGCAAAGAGGAAAGGCAGAACAAAUGAGUGGCGUUGGCGGUGUUCCCCGAAGAGUUGCUAAAUUGAGGGCCGCAUCUCCAUUUGGCUUGCCGGAUGGUGACCUUGCAGCCCUAUCUGUGUCUGCUCCGUGACUGCGUAAUGAAGACUUCAGUGCCAGGCAAACAAAUUGUAAUAAAUUGUUGCACCGUGACUGAAAAUGAGCAGGCCCAAUCAGGAAUCAAUAACCAUGUCACAAGGACCCAACACUACUUUGACACCAGUGGAUACGACAAAAAAAGUCUAUUGCAUGGCAGUUUUCUCCAUUACUGCUGAGCGACUUUGUGCCGAGACACCAGUGAGCAGAGGAUGGCAGGUCGAGGCGAGCCGCACUGAAAAAGGUGGGUGUGACAAGCUGUGAAGCUGUAAUUCAGAGCAACAGCGUUGAUUAACCAGCAUCUUUCCUUGGGAAUCUGGUGUGUGUGCCAUGCCCCAAAAUGGGUAGGCAGUAUGUUUACCACCUGAGGAUGCAUAAAUGUAUAUAUAUACAUAUUGCAUUCACUGUAUGUCUAUUAACCAAGUAUGAGUUUUUUUUU